AUGAGGGAUAUCACAUUUGUAAUGAUUUUUCUUAAUGGGGGUGAUGAUGAAAUUGACGUAGGUCUCAUGGGUAUUCCUCUAGGAAGAUAUGACAGCAAGAACAACAGGGUGAUAUGGACCUUCAACAGAAGCUGCCUGAGCAUGCAUCACGACCAUUCCGAGGUAGCAAAAAAGCUAACAUAUACUCAGCUUUUCUGUUAUUGCGAUAUCAAACUAUUGACAAGCUCACAGUUUCUUGGACUGCUACAUCAACAAGCUGCUUCCAUCGUUGCUCGCAACCCCUGUAUGCUGGACAUCAACCCAACAAUUCUUGUAGAUUGCUGUCUCUAUGAGUUAUUCCUGCAUUAUGAUUUCCACACGGCCAGUAAAUUUGAUUGGGUUUCUCAUGAUUCCAACUAUUGGACAUGCGAUGCAAUCAUACAAGGGGACAGAGCAAGGGAUAUUUGUAAUGCAUUCUAUCGAGAGAUAAAUUGGAAGUGUGAUGCUUCUCUGCUUGAGGAUGUUCUUACAGAGUGUAUGAAACAAUUGGAGUGUCCGUUUCUGGUAAUCAAAGAUGAUGAUAUCUAUGAAGAAGGCCCGUACCGUUGGAUUUCAGUCACAUGGAGGAAUACAGAACUUCUUGGUAUGCAAACUAUACCUGCAAUGACAAAAUCUUUCUUCUUGGCCUUUGAAAGAUCUGACCAUCCACAAACUUUACCAAAUGGAUUCUUUGAACAUUCAAGCAAGCUUGGUGUGCUAGUUCUCUGUUGGAUGUUGAUAACUCCUUUACAGAUAAGGCAAGUAUGGAUGCCAUCCGUGGGUGCGCGUGGCAAUGGCGAGAAGAAGCCAGCCGUCGAGAUCGAGAAGGACGUGUGGGACGCUCUGGAGUGGGACGCCGGUCACCGCCCCGACCACUUUGAGGCGCCCAUCCACUCGCGCUACUACAAGGAGAAGUUGCACAGGGUCUCCGUCCUCAGGAGUCUUUGGUCCUUUUUGGCCAACGGUACCUCCCCUGGCGGCGGCGAGGCACGCCUCCCGUCGUGCACACCAGUUAGGCGUGGGCGGAGAGUCAGGUGGCGAGCAAGGAGAAAACCGUACUACUCUGCUUUUUGCAGGAUUUCGAUCGAGUGA
rnacentral:rRNA from 1 species